CAGGCCUAACACAUGCAAGUCGAGCGGAGCGAGGGUGCUUGCACCUUAGCUUAGCGGCGGACGGGUGAGUAAUGCUUAGGAAUCUGCCUAUUAGUGGGGGACAACGUUUCGAAAGGAACGCUAAUACCGCAUACGUCCUACGGGAGAAAGCAGGGGAUCUUCGGACCUUGCGCUAAUAGAUGAGCCUAAGUCGGAUUAGCUAGUUGGUGGGGUAAAGGCCUACCAAGGCGACGAUCUGUAGCGGGUCUGAGAGGAUGAUCCGCCACACUGGGACUGAGACACGGCCCAGACUCCUACGGGAGGCAGCAGUGGGGAAUAUUGGACAAUGGGGGGAACCCUGAUCCAGCCAUGCCGCGUGUGUGAAGAAGGCCUUUUGGUUGUAAAGCACUUUAAGCGAGGAGGAGGCUUACCUAGUUAAUACCUGGGAUAAGUGGACGUACUCGCAGA
rnacentral:rRNA from 1 species